CAUAAUAAGUGUUUUAUGGCACUUUUUAAAUCCAUAUCCACCUUGUGUGCAAUGUCAGUCGAUCUUCUUCAUGGAGAUCGACCAAACAUCAACCUUAUCUUUUAACUCUUUGUCUGAAAAAUAUUAUGAAUAAACAAUUCAAAAUA
rnacentral:misc_RNA from 1 species